rnacentral:sRNA from 1 species
UUAAAAGAAGAGAUGUGGCUUGUCGACUA